GCUGACGAGUGGCGGACGGGUGAGUAAUGUCUGGGAAACUGCCUGAUGGAGGGGGAUAACUACUGGAAACGGUAGCUAAUACCGCAUAACGUCGCAAGACCAAAGAGGGGGACCUUCGGGCCUCUUGCCAUCGGAUGUGCCCAGAUGGGAUUAGCUAGUAGGUGGGGUAACGGCUCACCUAGGCGACGAUCCCUAGCUGGUCUGAGAGGAUGACCAGCCACACUGGAACUGAGACACGGUCCAGACUCCUACGGGAGGCAGCAGUGGGGA
rnacentral:rRNA from 1 species